AACCAUGCUAUACUUACCAUAUUUUGCAAAAUGCUUUAGAAGAAGUGCCUCCUAUUAUAAUUAUUAACAAUUUCCUUGAUGUCCUCAAUUUCGGAAGGAAAUGGCUCAAUCUUUUGAAACGUGGCUACUGUUAAAAUGCAACAAGAAUUUUUUAGAAUCUAAUUAAUUUAGUAUUUGUUACCAUAAUGAAUUCGGAAUGAAACUUUGAAAUAACUGCUUCUAUUUUUUUGCACUUUAAAAUUAAAUUUAUUUUGUUAAAUUUCAGACAAUUAAAAGGCAUAAUAAUGGACGCAGCAAGCAGGAAAGAAAGCACUUGAAACAAGUUAGAGUUGCAAAAGAGACCACUUACAACCAAAACGUGCAAAAUUUGAUAUUGAUGCAGAAAGCAAUAGUGAAUGAAGUGGAUAAAUAAUUAGAUCAAUAUGGUAGUAAGGAAGCUACACUGAGAAGAAAUCCUCUAUCUGCUACUUGUUAAAUAAAUGUAUGACAGACGCUAAAAAUAUAAUAAAAAAUACAAUAUCUAAACAAUAAAAA